GUUUGAUCCUGGCUCAGGACGAACGCUGGCGGCGUGCUUAACACAUGCAAGUCGAACGAUGAAGCCUUUCGGGGUGGAUUAGUGGCGAACGGGUGAGUAACACGUGGGCAAUCUGCCCUUCACUCUGGGACAAGCCCUGGAAACGGGGUCUAAUACCGGAUAACACUUCCUCGGGCAUCUGAGGUGGUUAAAAGCUCCGGCGGUGAAGGAUGAGCCCGCGGCCUAUCAGCUUGUUGGUGGGGUGAUGGCCUACCAAGGCGACGACGGGUAGCCGGCCUGAGAGGGCGACCGGCCACACUGGGACUGAGACACGGCCCAGACUCCUACGGGAGGCAGCAGUGGGGAAUAUUGCACAAUGGGCGAAAGCCUGAUGCAGCGACGCCGCGUGAGGGAUGACGGCCUUCGGGUUGUAAACCUCUUUCAGCAGGGAAGAAGCGACUGAGUUUUCUCGGGCGUGACGGUACCUGCAGAAGAAGCACCGGCUAACUACGUGCCAGCAGCCGCGGUAAUA
rnacentral:rRNA from 1 species